rnacentral:rRNA from 1 species
AUGAUGGGCGGGAAGAAACCAGUUACAAUAUUAACAGAUCAGGCUAGAGCAAUGGAGGUUGCAAUUCGGAAUGUAUUCCCAGGAACAAUGCACAGAUGGUGUAAAUGGCAUGUCUUGAAAAAAGCAAAAGAGUCUCUAGGAAGCAAUUAUACGAAGAAGUCGGACUUCAGGACAGAAUUUCAUCGGCUUUGCGACGAAAUGCUUACAGUAGAAGAAUUUGAAAAAGGGUGGUCAGAAUUAAUUCCAAAGUACGGCCUGGCUAGUAAUACAUUCCUAGCUCAAGUUUACGAGGUUAGGGACAAAUGGGCCAAGCCUUAUUUCAGUGGCAAAUUUUGUGCUAAAAUGACAAGCACUCAAAGGAGCGAGAGUGCAAAUCACAUGCUUAAAAACUAUGUCCCACCAGCUUGCCCAAUGAAUGUUUUCGUUAAGCAGUAUGGCAAGUUACAAUAUGACAGGGAACAGGAGGAAGGUUUUCAAGAGAAGAGAACAAGGCUGGGUGGGGCUGUUAUUAAAUCAAAUCUCCCAAUAGAGCGGCAUGCUAGCAAGAUUUAUACCAGAACAAUGUUUGAGAUGUUUGGAAGGGUCCUCUAUGUAGCUGGUUACUACAAUAUUGAAGAGUUAGAACCAAAAACAAGAUAUGCCGCCAUACAUGGAGACCCGGAGAAAAGGGAUCCAUGGUUCAAGAAUAAGUAUGAGGUGGUUAUAUCUGAUGACCAAUCAAAGUACACUUGCGAGUGCGGAAGAUAUGAGCACAUGGGGAUGAUAUGCUGUCAUAGACUAAAGGUUAUGAUAAUACUUGAUGUGAAAAAAAUCCCUAAAGCACAUAUAAUGAAGAGAUGGACAGUAGAUGCUCGUGAUGUUUUGCCUGAUCAUAUAAAGCAUUACCAACGAGACAUGGGGCCACCUGAUGCAAUGACAUUCAGGCAUUCUGCCAUGUACAUAACUACAUUGGAGAUUGUUCAUCUUGGCGACAGUAAUCCAGAUGCUUUCGAGGCAGUUAUGAGUGGACUGUGUGAAUUAUAA